rnacentral:pre_miRNA from 1 species
GUCCUACUCCCUCCGUUUAAAAAAACUUGUCUCUUAAAUGGAUGUAUCUAACAUCAAGUUAGUGCUAGAUACAUUCAUUUGAGAAAUAAGCUUGGGACAAGUUUUUUUGGACAGGGAGUACUAC